rnacentral:rRNA from 1 species
GACGAACGCUGGCGGCGUGCUUAACACAUGCAAGUCGAGCGGACACCAUCCGGUGGCAACACUGGUGAAGUGUUAGCGGCGAACGGGUGAGUAACACGUGAGCAACCUGCCCCCAAGUCUGGGAUAACCCCGGGAAACCGGAGCUAAUACUGGAUGCCCUUGCCGGGUCGCAUGGCCUGGCAAGGAAAGUUUUUCGCUUGGGGAGGGGCUCGCGGCCUAUCAGCUUGUUGGCGGGGUAACGGCCCACCAAGGCUUCGACGGGUAGCUGGUCUGAGAG